ensembl:lncRNA
UGGUUAUCAGAUUAAAGCAUUCAGAUGCUUUAAGGAUAAAAUUAUAAACUAAAAGUAUAUAUCUUACCCCAAAUGUAUUGACUGUACGUAAAUCACAGUCUGCGCAGCAGAAAAUUUUGACACUGAUAAUAAUGGUAAUAAUAAUGUUUGAUAAUAAUUUUACUUUACACUGAAUCACCAGAUUUCUGAAGGAUCAUGUGACUGAAGACUGAAGAAAUUCAGCUUUGCAUCACAGGAAUAAAUUACAUUUUUAAAUAUAUUAAAAGUUAUUUUUAAGUGUGAUAUUGUUUCAUAAUAUUGCCAUUUUUACUGUAUUUUUGAUCAAAUAAAUGCAAAAUUGGUAAGCAUAAGAAACUCCUUUCAAAAAAAUCUUAAUUAUUCCAAACUUUCGACCGGUAGUGUAAGUCAAAACUGAUUAUACUCUGUAGAUAAAAGCUUGAUUUUAUCAACAUCUAAUAUGUGAUGUCUGACAUUCCACAAAACAAAUGACCGUGAAAUUGAUAUGCCAAUAAAUGCAUCGUACCAACUCCUGCCUAGUCAGCAGAAAGGAACCCUGCAGUGGGAAACUCCACAGUGCACAAACAUGAUUUGAGUCUAACAUUCCUUCACUUUGUGUUAAAAAUACCCUACAUCAACAAACCAUUGUUUGGGGAUUGUGGGUGUCACAUGGGGUCAUGGUAGCAACAGCUGGCCUUAACAGCCCUCCACAAUCCACCCCCAAACCCAUUAAUACUGCUCUCCCUCUGCCUCGGCUUGCAACCAUGUGUGAAAUGAUCCUUAAUGAUGGAGAUGAGGUAAUGCCUUCAGCAGCUCUGACAUCACUAUAGCCUUUCCCAUCCAGAGCAACUGACCAUCACUUCCACAAUGAGCUUUUCAACUACCUUUCUUCAAGGAGAACGUGAUGAAUGUCACACGUAUGAAUAUUAGAUGUUGAAAUUCCCAUUUUAUCCAUUAAUAGAUGAUUAUAAUUAAAAAGUCUAAAAUCAUUCAGUUUAAUUAACACACACACACACACACAUAUAUUUACUAGUUGCUUUUAACAUAUUGGGAUGGCAUAUGUCGGGAUUGCAUAUACUCUUUAUUAGUACUUAUAAAGAACAUAUUCUGCAUGGCCAUAUUCUACAUCUCCAAUCCUACCCAACACCAAAACUUAACAACUACCUUACUAACUAUUCAUUGAGGCAAAAGUUGUAGUUAAUGGUUUGUUAAUAGCAAGAAUUGGAUCUUAAAAUAAAGUGACCGACAUCAUUUAAUACAUCAUUUAAUGGGUGAUAAUACACAAUUAAUCAUGAUCUUGUAGAUUUCACUGCAUGUGAAGUAGGCACACAAUAAUCAGCACUAACUAACAGCUUAAUGUGGUUACAAGUGAAACAUUCUCACUGUGGUAAACAAAACAUGGUGUUCUCUGUUAGUUCCUUUCCUUUUUUUACAAUCCUUUAUGUAAACACUCAUAAAUGUGACUGAAACUGUGUUUCAAUCGAAUGUUCUCUCACUUCUGUUUCUUUAUUAAGAAUAUUUAUGUAAAAACAUAAACAAUAAACUUA